CAUGCCCUGCUUUUUAUUUCUUUCCUUCUUAUUCCCUUUCUUCAGUAUAACUACAUAGACUUCCAAUCUCUCUGCAUGAAGCAAGAGACCUGCAGUGGGGAACCAUUCUAAGGGGCAUUUAUGCACAUAUAAAAGAGAGAAGAAACACUCUGGCAUUUUCGGGUGUUGACAGAAGUCACAGAAGAAUAACAAUCAGAUGAAGACACCUAAAGAUGAUAAACCUUCCAGGUCUAAGCUAUUUCCUCACACUCAGCCCGGCACAUCAAAUGUGAACAUGGAAGAAAACUCAGGGAUCAUUAGAGGACCUGACGGCUCCUCAGAGUCAACUAAGAGCUGUCAUAAAUAGUGAUUGCUAGACACAUAGCCAGACAUUUGAACCCAUGUGCUUUGGAGGGCACCAAGAAUAUGGUUAGUGAGGUCCACAUAUACAUGAGAGUAGGGUGCCAUUCUCUGCAGCAUGGGUAACUUACCAUGGGCCAUGUGGCUUAGGAAAACUGAUUUACUCUUCCCCAGGGACCAUCAUUGGAGUGGUCCUCAAGAGUGGGACUCAGGAAGCUGGAACAUUGCUUAAUUUGGUCUCAUACAGCAGCCACAGUUUCUAUGAGUUCAUGAGUGUAUCAGCCCUUCUGGGCAUGUUCAGAAGACAUUAUUUUGCUGUAAUCUUUCCCAACUUCUGGUUCUUAAAAAUCCUUCUGUCUCCUCCAAUGUUCCCUGAGUUUUUCUGGGUGUGAGGAAGCAGUGAUGUAAGUGUUCCAUUCAAGGCUGAGCAUCUCUCAGUCUUUGACUUUCUACUGUUUGACCAGUUAUAAAUUGGUCAAACCAGAAGGUACUUAGUACAGAGUAUAUUGUUUUUAUUCUCUGAGAAAAUGCACUCUCUUGACAUUUCAGAA
rnacentral:sRNA from 1 species